rnacentral:rRNA from 1 species
AUUGAACGCUGGCGGCAGGCCUAACACAUGCAAGUCGAGCGGCAGCGGGAAAGUAGCUUGCUACUUUUGCCGGCGAGCGGCGGACGGGUGAGUAAUGCCUGGGAAAUUGCCCAGUCGAGGGGGAUAACAGUUGGAAACGACUGCUAAUACCGCAUACGCCCUACGGGGGAAAGCAAGGGACCUUCGGGCCUUGCGCGAUUGGAUAUGCCCAGGUGGGAUUAGCUAGUUGGUGAGGUAAUGGCUCACCAAGGCGACGAUCCCUAGCUGGUCUGAGAGGAUGAUCAGCCACACUGGAACUGAGACACGGUCCAGACUCCUACGGGAGGCAGCAGUGGGGAAUAUUGCACAAUGGGGGAAACCCUGAUGCAGCCAUGCCGCGUGUGUGAAGAAGGCCUUCGGGUUGUAAAGCACUUUCAGCGAGGAGGAAAGGUCAGUAGCUAAUACCUGCUGGCUGUGACGUUACUCGCAGAAGAAGCACCGGCUAACUCCGUGCCAGCCGCCGCAGUAACAC